CUCAUAUGGUUAACUAGGUCCUAGGAUGCUCUCAUAGGGUUAACUAGGUCCUAGGAUGCUCUCAUAGGGUUAACUAGGUCCUAGGAUGCUCUCAUAGGGUUAACUAGGUCCUAGGAUGCUCUCAUAGGGUUAACUAGGUCCUAGGAUGCUCUCAUAGGGUUAACUAGGUCCUAGGAUGCUCUCAUAGGGUUAACUAGGUCCUAGGAUGCUCUCAUAGGGUUAACUAGGUCCUAGGAUGCUCUCAUAGGGUUAACUAGGUCCUAGGAUGCUCUCAUAGGGUUAACUAGGUCCUAGGAUGCUCUCAUAGGGUUAACUAGGUCCUAGGAUGCUCUCAUAGGGUUAACUAGGUCCUAGGAUGCUCUCAUAGGGUUAACUAGGUCCUAGGAUGCUCUCAUAGGGUUAACUAGGUCCUAGGAUGCUCUCAUAGGGUUAACUAGGUCCUAGGAUGCUCUCAUAGGGUUAACUAGGUCCUAGGAUGCUCUCAUAGGGUUAACUAGGUCCUAGGAUGCUCUCAUAGGGUUAACUAGGUCCUAGGAUGCUCUCAUAGGGUUAACUAGGUCCUAGGAUGCUCUCAUAGGGUUAACUAGGUCCUAGGAUGCUCUCAUAGGGUUAACUAGGUCCUAGGAUGCUCUCAUAGGGUUAACUAGGUCCUAGGAUGCUCUCAUAGGGUUAACUAGGUCCUAGGAUGCUCUCAUAGGGUUAACUAGG